rnacentral:rRNA from 1 species
CAUACUCUACGUGAAUCAUCGAAUCUUUGAACGCAUCUUGCACUUUUUAGGUCUCCUAGAAAGUAUACUUGUUUGAGUAUCAUUAACAUUUAUCCUCGCGAAAGCUUGGGAAUUGAGACGUUAAGCGACACUCGCAAAGUAGUGAACAACUGCUUGUGGGAGACGCCUAUGUCUUUUAAGUGAUGAGUAGUGUGUUGCGAGUUAGCCUUACGGCUUUCACGCAAGCCUCCACAAUCAAAUGUGAGAUAAACAUCACACAGAGUAGUUGAGAGGUUAAGCGCUAUUACGCUCAGAAGAAUUUUGUUAUUCUUCACAAGCAUCGCUGCAAUUAUUGUGGUGAUGCGAUUGAAUCUGUGAUCUCAAAUCAAGUAAGACUACCCCGCUGAACUUAAGCAUAUCAAUAAGCGGAGG